CCUACGGGUGGCAGCAGUCGAGCAUCAUUCACAAUGGGGGAAACCCUGAUGGUGCGACGCCGCGUGGGGGAAUGAAGGUCUUCGGAUUGUAAACCCCUGUCAUGUGGGAGCAAAUUAAAAAGAUAGUACCACAAGAGGAAGAGACGGCUAACUCUGUGCCAGCAGCCGCGGUAAUACAGAGGUCUCAAGCGUUGUUCGGAACCACUGGGCGUAAGGCGUGCGUAGGCUGUUUCGUAGGUCGUGUGUGAAAGGCGCGGGCUCAACCCGCGGACGGCACAUGAUACUGCGAGACUAGAGUAAUGGAGGGGGAACCGGAAUGCUCGGUGUAGCAGUGAAAUGCGUAGAUAUCGAGAGGAACACUCGUGGCGAAGGCGGGUUCCUGGACAUUAACUGACGCUGAGGCACGAAGGCCAGGGGAGCGAAAGGGAUUAGAUACCCUUGUAGUC
rnacentral:rRNA from 1 species